rnacentral:rRNA from 1 species
GGGUCAGUAGGUUGGUCGUGCCACCGGUACGUACUGGUCUCACUGAUUCCUCCUUCCUGAAGAACCGUAAUGCCAUUAAUUUGGUGUUGCGGGGAAACAGGACUGUUACUUCGAAAAAAUUAGAGUGUAUAAAGCAAGCUAACGCUUGAAUACAUUAGCAUGGAAUAAUGAAAUAGGACGAUCGAUCCUAUUUUGUUGGUUUCUAGGAUUGACGUA